GGGCCUGUMGCUCAGAGGAUUAGAGCACGUGGCUACGAACCACGGUGUCGGGGGKUCGAAUCCCUCCUCGCCCA
rnacentral:tRNA from 1 species